UUGACAACCCUGGAGACUGAAGUCUUCUGUUUACCCAGAGAAUAAGCACAGCACGGGAAAGCUGCAGUGCAGGCUCCCUUCAGGUGCUGCCUAAGCCAACGUGCCUCAGCCUUGACCUGGUGAGAAAUUCAUCCCUUCCCAUCACAGCUCGAGCUGUU
ensembl:misc_RNA